GUUGGACUCUGUUGGACUCGGUUGUUCCAAAGCUCUAUUUUUAACAGCAGGCAUGGACGCUGUGUGUUCCUACGAGGCUGCUGGAGCUGAUUGAGGCCACUCAGUACAACACUGAUGAUUCCAGCAGACAUGCCACAGCACAUUUCAGAAGCAUCCCUGAAGCAUCUCUUUGCUCCGCACCACUAAAAAUAACUCUGGAUCUGUUUUUUACAGAAGCUCCAUCAAGCUGCAGACAACAGAGGAAAAUGUGCAGCACAGAAGAAACAGCAAAGGAAAUCCUGUCAGUGUUGAAAAUAGAAGAGCCUGUGCAGACCAACAUGUUUCUCUUCUAAAAUACACCAGGUGUGGUUUGAAGGACGCAACAAAACCACAUCAGAAAGACAUCAGAGACUCAUCACAUCACUCGCUGGAUUCACUGGAUUAUUUUUCUUUCACCAUUAUUUGGAACAAAGAAAACAAACGUGACUGGUUUGUGUCAUUGUGGUGCUGCAUGGCCCACUUUCUCCUGAGAUUCAGUUCACAGACAGAUGUUCUGAUAGUUUUCUUUACAAUUUGCUGCUAGAAUUCAAAAUUGAUUGUGUGAUUAAUGAUGGUGAGCCAGAUGGGCCAAACCAUGAUCCUAUCAGCAGCAUGUUUCAUUGUAGUGGUGCAUCAUUGAUGGGAUAAAUGGACUGGUGCUUAUAUAGUGAUUUUCUAUUUUCAUGUGGACUAAAGUAGUGGACUGACCAACAGACUGACAUUAACAUCAGAGCCGUGCUGCUAGUGUGGCUAAAAGAAAAGAGAAGAAGAGACAGUCAUGUUGAUAUGAACAUUAGAGAAACACAUCAUGGAGCUGAAAUAUGAUCCUGCUUCCUCAUUUGGACUCAUUCACCUCAGCUGACACGUUCAACAGCAGACAGGUUUUUGUAGCAGUCUGUCUCACUGUGAGAGGGAUACUACCUCAUCUUUGGCUCUGGAACUAAACUGUCUGUAACAGAUGAGCAGGUAGUGAAGCCCGUGGUGAGCGUGUACCCAGCAGCAUCCAGAGCCCACCUGGAGGGGAACAGCUCCCUGCUGUGUGUGGCCUCAGCCAUGUUUCCUCCUCUGGUCCAGUUCUCCUGGAAAAGACAGAAGAAGAACGGCGGAGAAGCGGAGGAGCUGCCCCCUGCUGAGGGAGAGCAGCUGGAGCUCAGAGAGGCGGGACGCACCAUUGCCAUCAGGAUGCUUGAUGGGAGCCAUUCUGACACAUAUAAAUACAGCUGCUGGGUGAAGCACGAGGGGGGCACAGUGGAGGCCCGAACACAACAAGAGCUUCCAGCUCCAGCAGCCUCCUGUCCUCCAGAGAGAGAGCCAGCAGACCUGCCAGCUCUGCAGCCAGCUGACUUGUCCUUCCAGUCUCAGUGCAGGGUGAAGCUGCUCUGCCUGCUGUACACAGUGCUGGUGUACUGCUGUGGACUCUCUCUGCUGAUGAUGCUCACAAACAAGGGAGCGUCCACCAACUGCACACAUGCUGACUGACUGUUUCCUGCUCGCCUUUUCUCACCAUCACAUCUCAUCAAUUCAUCUCAUUCAUCACUUUGAUCACAAAUGUUAGUUAUGAUGUGUUGAGCUUAUUUUGCCUUUUUCUUCAACAGUUAGAAGAUCGUCUGAAAUAAAUACAUCUUUACAUGUAUUGUUGCUCUGAGUUAGAAUUCUUUUUGUGCUUAUUGUGACUUUUAUUGUAGUAACAAAAACCAUCAGGAAUAUUUUUAUCACAAGUUUUCACUUUUUGUUUGAUUUUCAAAUGUCAAACAGUGUAGUUGUGUUUGUGUGAACAAUAAAGAUUUGAAGAUGAA
ensembl:lncRNA